UAUUGAGCACAUACCAUGUGCUGGAACUCAAGGUAGUUGUUGGCACCAUAGCCAUAAAGCAAGGAAACACAGAAUGGUUGCCCUCAUGGGGAUCAGAGCCUGGCAGGGAAAACAAGUACUGACCAAAUGUUACACGUCUGAUGGGUGUUUCAAGAGCAGCUUCUCUAGGAACCCAAGCAGGGGAAUUUGAUGUCCUGAACCAGCGACAUUCCAGCCAGGGCCAAAAUAACGGUGAUGGGAGGCCAGGGAAGGUUUCAGGCAGAGCUGAUGACCUGCAUGCAGCCGACAUUUAUUUGCAGCACAUUUUGCAGACAUUUAUUGCGUGCCAGGUUCUGUGCUCAGCACAUGAUGAUCAUUAUCUUGUUCAGCCUUCCCAAGUGCCUUGAAGCUGGUGCUAUUUCUAUAAACUUUUUAGCCAAGGAGAAAACUAAGGUUCAGAGAAGUGACAUGAUUUGCCUGAGGAAACACAGCUAAUAGUGGGAGGAGCCAAGGUACAGCAGCAGGAGCCAUGAUGGGAGAACAGCUCUCAGAUGGAUGCAUGGAUGUGCUGGCCUGGUGGAGUCUGGAUGGGCCACAGGACAGUGGGAAACGCUGUGGGUUCCACUGGGUGGGGGUAACUCAGAACUUUGCUUUAUUUACCCCAAACAUCAGAAUCCUCAGGGUGACAUAGAGCUGGAACAGGCCUUUUGGAUUGUUUUCCAACCUCCUCAACCUCAAAGUGGGGUAACUGAGGUCCAGAGAGGAGACGGACUUUGCUUAAAUCCUACAAUGACUCUGGGCAGAAUCAGGCCCAGAAUCUAGUGGAGCAGAAGGUAUUCAGGCUGCCAGAGGAUCAACACCAAGAGCAGAGAGGCACAGCUGCCCUUUUGCACUGUGUCCCUGUGCCUGGCACAUUAGAGGCACUCAGGUGAGAAUUCUUGAGCAAGGGAGUGCGCAGGGAAGAGCACACAGCCUGGGUGUCUGUCUCGAGCUGGAACCUGUCUCUGAUAGCCAGCUCUGCCUCCCUGGGUAAGUGCUUUCAUCUUGCUGAGCAUCCAUUUCCCAAAAUAAGAUCAGAAACCCACUUGGGAGGUCUCCAAGCAGGGAUUUGAACUCAGGUCUACCUGAUUCCAGGGCAGGUUUUUUUACCCUGCACUUUCUUGAUUCCUUUAUAUAUCUUAUUCAUUCAUACACUGAUUCAUUCAUUCAUCCAGUCAUUUAGAAAAUGUUGAUUGAGCAUCUGCCCUGUGCCAGGCACUGUUCUAGGCUGUGCAAAUUCAGCAGUGAAUGAGGCAAAUGAAGUUUCUGCCCUUGUGGAACUUAAAUUCUAGAAGAGAGAGAUAGACGGUCAACAAAUCAACAAAUAGAAUGGGAAUAGUGGUAGACUGGGCGCGGCGGCUCACGCAUGUAAUCCAAGCACUUUUGGAGGCCGAGGCGGGCAGAUCACUUGAGGUCAGGAGUUCAAGACAACAUAGUGAAACCCCGUCUGUACUAAAAAUAGAAAAGUUAGCUAGACGUGGUGGUGGGCACUUGUAAUCCCAGCUACUCGGAAGGCAGAGGCAGGAGAAUGGCUUGAACCCGGGAGGCGGAGGUUGCGAUGAGCCAAGAUUGUGCCAUUGCACUCCAGCCGGGGCAACAAGAGCGAAACUCCGUCUAAAAAAAAAAAGAAUGAGAAUAGUGGUGAGUGCCCUACAGGAACUAAAACAGGGGAUGGGAGUGGGGAGGGGUCUGCCUUAGACAGUGU
rnacentral:lncRNA from 1 species